AAACUGUUUUCAUUUUUGACAUCUUCUAUUUAUUUGUUAAAUUUUUAUAAGUUUGUCGUAUGAACUGUUUGUAUUUUAUGUUCCAAAGCUUUUAUUGUCAUUCUUGGGUAGCGAACUUCUAGUAUAAAGUAACGAGGAGUAUGUAUGCUCCUGAGAGAUGGAGAGUAUCACAGAAGACUUAUAAAAGAGUCCUUGUUAAGAUUAAGAGUAUAAUUAAGGAUAGACAUUAGGAUAAUUUCUGCCUAUAUUCUCGUAAAAUAGUGUGUAUUUUAUUUAUUUCCUUCUCAUGGCUGCUUGCAGCUAAUCUAAUCAAAUUUCAUGACGGCUAAGAACCUUUUUGGAUCAUUAAAACAGAAGUAUAUAAUCUUAAACGUAUGAAUUAUGUUUUUUGGCCACAAAUUGAGAAGAUAACUAUAAACUUUCAGAAGAUAAGUGUAAACUUUGCCCCACAAACAUCAAUGCCCUGAGCGCAUAGUCAAUGAUAUCCAAGCUACAUACCAGUACUUCCAAAAAGAUUAAAGUCUGUUCGUGUAACCUAUAUGGAGCCUAUAUUGAGUGAAAAAUAUUCAUUGUAGCUUAAUUAAUGUGUGUCUCGUGUUCUACAAGUGUGAUUGGAUUACGCUACCUGGUGUUGAAUUUUGUACUAAAAAAACUUCAUGACAGUUUUGUGAAUGUUUGACUAACUAUUGGAUGAGUAUAAAAUAGAUUUUUUGUGAUUAUACCAGUGUCUGUAUUGAUUGUAUAUCUUGUAUACAAGACAUAUCGAUAUAAUAUAACUUUUAAAAUAAUAUAUCUCGUAUUUAUAAAAUUGUGCUACCGCAAGUACAAAUUUCAAAACUCUGCAUAUGUCCUACGCAUUUUAAGAUAUUUUUUUAGUAAUUUGGCAACAAAUUUAUUGUAUUUAUAUAUAAAAUUGAUCCUAAACAGUGUAUAAAAACGAAAUCUGGCACUUUAAUCCAUAUAUUUUUAAUUAACAUAAAAAUAUUUUUUUAGGAUUGAUUGAAAAAACAAAAACAGAGCAGCAGAUAAAAUAAUUGAGAUUGGCUUCAAUAACUGCCUCGAUUCGAAUCAUGAACCGUGUGCAGGCCUUGGAAACUAGAACCCAAUCUAAUUUCUUGCAUUCCAGGACGAUGGAGUCGAUCAUGGACUUCGUGGUGGUGUGAGGACUAAUGUUAAUCUUUGACUCAAGUUUCAGGUCGAAGGGAUGACUUUUACAGGUUUUAUUGACACUGGAAUUUGUCAGAAGAUUAUACGUCUUCGAAACUUUGAGUUCUUAUAGGAGUAAAGGAUAAUGCCAUAAAAGAUCUGACUGACGUAUUCUUGAGCAAAUUAUCCACGAGGAGAUGAGAUCCACGGUUCCCUUAUGUCAAACAUUAGAAAAUCAUUGAAAAAGAUAAGGUCCUUUAAUGUCAAGUUCGGGACAGGCGUAUGGCUUUAAUUAAAUGGACCUAUGGGUGGACUAAAACCAUAUAUCUGGAUACUGCGGGGAAAAUACUACUACUGUAAACACUCGUGUUGAAUGAUAUUACUAUAUCCGAUCCUUAUUUUAAUUUCCGCUACUAAAGCUAUCGUUCAUAAAAAAAAUUCUAGAGGAUACUUCGAUUUUACCUUUUCCCACCACUCAAACAAUAUUGAAAGAUUUCCAUGUUCCUUCAGAAUUAGGACUAAUAAAAAUGAAAUAUUUUAUACUCAACAAGAGAUGUUCAAUUUUUGAAAUAUACUGGGAUGAUGGCGGAAUGACAAUUCAUCCUAGAAUAUAACCAGACCAAAUUAAGCUUUAUACUGGAGUAGUUCUCUAUCCAUCUGUAUAUAACAAUAAAUAUAUUCAGGGGUUGAGACUAUAACGGGAUCCAUUCACUUUCAAAUUCAGAUAUUAGAGAUAUUUUUUAAAGUUAAAUAUUGAAUAUUUUUCUAUAAUAUUAUAAACAAAUAGUAUUCCUCAUCACUAUGUAUGUUUAAUAUGUUGUAAGAUUAUAAAGAAGAGUUUUGGUUUUCA
rnacentral:lncRNA from 1 species